GGGUCAGUAGGUUGGUCGUGCCACCGGUACGUACUGGUCUCACUGAUUCCUCCUUCCUGAAGAACCGUAAUGCCAUUAAUUUGGUGUUGCGGGGAAACAGGACUGUUACUUUGGAAAAAUUAGAGUGUUUAAAGCAAGCUAACGCUUGAAUACAUUAGCAUGGAAUAAUGAAAUAGGGCGAUCGAUCCUAUUUUGUUGGUUUCUAGGAUUGACGUA
rnacentral:rRNA from 1 species